rnacentral:rRNA from 1 species
CUGGUUGAUAUUCCAGUACCACCUCUGUUCCGCUUGAGCAAUGGCGUGACGCAGGAGGAUAGGGUGAGCGGCCUAUUGGAUGGCCGUCUAAGCAGUAAGUGUGGUGUGUAGGCAAAUCCGCACACCAGUAAGCACAAGCUGUGAUGGCGAGGGAAAUUUAAGUACCGAAGUCCCUGAUUUCACACUGCCAAGAAAAGCGUCUAGCGAGGAACAAGGUGCCCGUA